rnacentral:rRNA from 1 species
UACGGAGGGUGCAAACGUUGCUCGGAAUCAUUGGGCGUAAAGCGCACGUAGGCGGUCCCAUAAGUCGGGUGUGAAAGCCCUCGGCUUAACCGAGGAAGUGCAUUCGAAACUGCGGGACUUGAGUACCGGAGAGGGUGACGGAAUUCCCGGUGUAGAGGUGAAAUUCGUAGAUAUCGGAAGGAACAUCAGUGGCGAAAGCGGCUUCCUGGUCCAGCACCGACGUUCAGGCACGAAAGCAUGGGGAGCGAACAGG